rnacentral:misc_RNA from 1 species
GAACGGUCGGCAGUCGAUCCGCGUCGGUCGUGCGAGGGUGGUAUGGUUCCCCCAGAGGCCGGUUCUUGUGCUGCCUACCCCUUCAGGGGAAUCGGGCCACUUGAUGUAAGCCUCCAUCCGGCGCCUUCCAACGGGCGCAGGAGGACAACAGGGCACCCCCCGCGUUCCACCGAUCCUCCUCGGUCGCGUGGCCCGCGGGGACGUGCGACGCUCUCGGACCCAGCGAACGCCGUGGGCGAGGACUCACGUCCCAGUCCCGAAAAGAAGCUCCGAUAUAAUGCAAGACGGCCGCUCCCGCCCCCCCGGGGGCGAGGCGCGGCGUCGCANAGGAAUG